rnacentral:lncRNA from 1 species
CUAAACAUAAAACCCUAAACUCUAAGAAACCCUAUAUGCUUUUAUGUACCCAAAGAAACCCUAAACCUUUCUCCUUAAACGUUAGGGCUAAACCCUAAGAAACCCUAAACUUGAAGAAAUGAAAAAAACCCUAAAAACAUUUAAAAACUCUAAACCCUAUAAACCCCAUAAAACCUUAAAUCUAAAACCCUAAGAACCCCUAAAUCCUAAAAACCCAAAAAAUAACCUAAAAUCCCUUCAAAACCCUAAACCUAAAAAAAUCCUCUAAACAUAAAUAUUAAGCCCAAAACCCUAAGAAACCCCAAAUGCUCUUUAUACCCUAAAAAACCUAAAUCCUUAACUCUAAACCAUAGGGUUAACCCCUAAACCCCAUGCUUUAUGAAACACUAAGAAACCCUAAACCCUAAGAAAACCUAAACCCUAUAAAACCCUAAAAACCUUUAAAAAUCCUAGAACUUUAAUACCCUAAAAAACACUAUAAAUAAAUCCCUUUAAAACCCUAAGCCCUAAAAAAACUCUAAACUUAAAACCCUAUGCCCUAAAUCCUAGGGAACCCAAAAUCUUUUUUAAAAAAACCCUGAGAAACCCUAAUCAUAAAAACCCUAAACCCAAAAACACUAAAAAAAAUCCUAAACCCUAAAAACACUUAACCUAAAACCCGUAACCCUAAGAAACCCUAAACACUAAAUCCUAAACCCUAAACCCUUAGCCCUAAAAAACAAAUUUUUUUUUUUUAAAACUCUAAACCUAAAAAACCCUUAAUAAAUCUUGAACCUAACAAACCUAACAAAACAACCUAAACCCUAGUAAAACCCUAAACCAAAAACCGUAAACCCUACUCCCUAAAAGGCCCAAACUAAACCUAAGAAAUCUUAAACGCUAAACUCUUAACCUUGAGAAAUCAUAAAUCAUAAACCCUAAGACACACUAAACCCUAAACCUUAGGGAUAAACCCCAAACCCCAAGCCUUAUGAAACUCUAGGAAAUCCUAAAUUCUAAGAAAACCUAAACGCUGAAAAACCCUAAAAACCUUUAAAAAUCCCAAAACUAAAAAACCCUUAAAAACCAUAAACCCUAAAAUUAUCCUUAAUCUAAAAUCAUAUUCCCUAAAAAACCCUAAACCGUAAAAAUCAAUAAUGAUCGUUAAAAAUCUUUAAAAAUCUUAAACCAAAAAAAACUAUUAACCUUAAAAAAUCCAACAAAAAAACAUUAAAUACCAUAAACAAUAAAAAAAUAUAAAAAAAUCUAAAAAAAAAGCUUUAAAAUCACCAGAAAAACUAAGCUCUAAACUUUGAACCCUAAGAAACCCUAAAUCCUAAACAAUAAGCCCUAAAAAAAAUUACAAACCCUAAACCUCAAAAACCAUUAAAAAGAAACUUUUAAAACUAAAAAAAAACCCAUAUUGCCCUAAACCCCCAAACCUACAAAAACCUUAAUCUAAAACCCUAAGCCUUAAGAACCCCUAAGACGUAAAAAAAACCUUAAAAAUUUCUAAAUAAACUCUAAACAUAAAAAUACCCUUUAAAAACAUAAGCCAUAAACCUUAAAUCCUAAAAACCCUUAAACAAAAAACCUUAAGCCAUAAACCUUAAAAUAAACCAUACACUACAUAAGAAACCCUAUAUGCUUUUAUAUACCCAAAGAAACCCUAAACCCUUCUCCUUAAACCUUUGGGCUAAACCCUAAGAAACCCUUACCUUAAGAAAUAAAAUAAAAACUAUAAAAACAUUUAAAAACCCUAAACCCUAAAAAUCCCAUAAAACCUUCAAUCUAUAACCCUAAGCCCUAAGAACCUAUAAAUCAUAAAAACCCAAAAAAAAAUCAUAAAAACCUUUUAAAACCCUAAAUCUAAAAAAAUCCUCUAAACAUAAAAAAAACCCUAGAAAAUAUUAAGCCCAAAACCCUAAGAAAUCAUAAGCAUAUUAGAUAAGCAUAUAAGAUCAAAACAUUUAACCUUCAAAAUCCUAAACCUAAGAAACCCUAAAUCCUAUGAAACAAUAAACCCUAAACUCUAAGAAACACUAAACCCUAAGAAACCCUUAACAAUAAGAAACUCUUAAUCCUAAAGAAACCCUUUAAAAACACUAAAUCUAAAAAAAAAUCUUUAAAAACCCUAAAUCUAAAAUUGUAAGCCCUAAUAACCCCCAAAUCGUUAAAAACCAUAAAAAUCCUAGAAACACUUAAGCCUUAAACCAUGAACCCUUAAAUAAAAAUCCUAAACAUAAAACCCUAAACUCUAAGAAACCCUAUAUGCUUUUAUAUACCCAAAGAAACCCUAAACCCUUCUCCUUAAAACCUUUGGGCUAAAACCCUAAGAAACCCUUACCUUAAGAAAUAAAAAAAACCAUAAAAACAUUAAAAAACCCUAAACCCUAAAAAUCCAAUAAAACCUUAAAUCUAUAAUCCUAAGCCCUAAGUACCCCUAAAUCGUAAAAACCCAAAAAAAUAAUCCUAAAAACCCUUUAAAACCCUAAAUAUAAAAAAAUCCCCUAAACAUAAAAAAACCCUAGAAAAUAUUAAGCCCAAAACCCCUAAGAAAUCCUAAACGCUCUUUAUACCCUAAAAAAACCAAAAUCCUUAACUCUAAACCAUAGGGAUAAACCCCAAACCCCAAGCCAAAUGAAACUCUUCUAAGAAACCCUCAACCCUAAGAAAACCUAAACCCAAAAAACCUUUAAAAAUCCUAGAACUUUAAUACCCUAAAAAAACACUAUAAAUAAAUCCCUUUAAAACCUUAAACCCUAAACCCUACUCGCUAAAAGGCCCAAACUAAACCUAAGAAACCUUAAACGCUAAACUCUAAACCCUAAGAAAUCAUAAAUCAUAAACCCUAAGACACACUAAACCCUAAACCUUAGGGAUAAACCCCAAACCCCAAGCCAAAUGAAACUCUAAGAAAUCCUAACUCCUAAGAAAACCAAAACAUUAAAAAACCCUAAAAACCAUUCAAAAUCCUAAAACAAAAAAAUCCCUAAAAAAAGCCUUAAAAAUCCUUAAAACCCAUAAACCCUAAAAUAAUUCCUUAAUCUAAAAUCAUAAGCACUAAGAAACCCUAAAUCGUAAAAAUCGAUAAUGAUCGUAAAAAAUCUUUAAGAAUCCUAAAUCGAAAAAACCUCAUAACCUUUAAAAAUACAACAAAAACAUGGGCUCUAAACCCUAACCUAAAAACCCUUAACCAAAAAACCUAAACCUAAAACUCUAAGCCCUAAGAAACUCAAAUUGCUAAACCUUAUACCCUAAGAAACCCUAAACCUUAAAAAUCCAAAAUAGAAACCUUGAAUACCCUAAACCCUAAAAAAACAUAAAAAUCCUAAAAAAAAGAAGAAACUUUAAAAGCCCCAGAAAAACUAAGCUCUAAACUCUGAACCCUAAGAAACCCUAAACACUAAAUCCUAAACCAUAAACCCUAAAAAAAGUACUAACCCUAAACCUAAAAAACCUUAAAAAUCAUAAAAAAAAACUUUUAAAACUAUAUAAAAAAUCCAUAUUACCCUAAACCCUCAAUCCUACAAAACCCUUAAUCUAAAACCCUAAGCCCUAAGAACCUCUAAGACGUAAAAAAACCUUAAAAAUUUCUAAAUAAACUCUAAACUUAAAAAUACACUAUAAAAACUUAAGCCAUAAGCCCUAAAUCCUAAAAACCCUUAAACAAAAAAGAUUCAACUCUAAACCAAAACCCUCGUCUAUAAGAAACCCUAAACAUAAAACCCUAAACUCUAAGAAACCCUAUAUGCUUUUAUGUACCCAAAGAAACCCAAAACCCUUCUCCCUAAACGUUAGGGCUAAACCCUAAGAAACCCUAAACCUGAAGAAAUGAAAAAAAACCCUAAAAAACAUUUAAAAACUCUAAACCCUAAGAAAUCAUAAAUCAUAAACCCUAUGACACACUAAACCCUAAACGUUUGGGAUAAACCCCAAACCCCAAGCCUUAUGAAACUCUAAGAAAUCCUAAAUCUUAAGAAAACCUAAACGCUAAAAAACCCUAAAA